UAGGGAAUUUUCGGCAAUGGGCGAAAGCCUGACCGAGCAACGCCGCGUGAGUGAUGAAGGCCUUCGGGUUGUAAAGCUCUGUUGUUAGGGAAGAAUGAUCAGGAUAGGAAAUGAUCUUGAAGUGACGGUACCUAACCAGAAAGCCACGGCUAACUACGUGCCAGCAGCCGCGGUAAUACGUAGGUGGCAAGCGUUAUCCGGAAUUAUUGGGCGUAAAGGGUGCGUAGGCGGUUUCUUAAGUCUUAUGUGAAAUCUCAGAGCUUAACUCUGGGCUGCAUAAGAAACUAUUAGACUAGAGUGCAGGAGAGGGCAACGGAAUUCCAUGUGUAGCGGUAAAAUGCGUAGAUAUAUGGAGGAACACCGGUGGCGAAGGCGGUUGCCUGGCCUGUUACUGACGCUGAAGCACGAAAGCGUGGGGAGCAAAUAGG
rnacentral:rRNA from 2 species